rnacentral:rRNA from 1 species
UACGUAGGUGGCGAGCGUUGUCCGGAUUUACUGGGCGUAAAGGGAGCGUAGGCGGACUUUUAAGUGAGAUGUGAAAUACCCGGGCUCAACUUGGGUGCUGCAUUUCAAACUGGAAGUCUAGAGUGCAGGAGAGGAGAAUGGAAUUCCUAGUGUAGCGGUGAAAUGCGUAGAGAUUAGGAAGAACACCAGUGGCGAAGGCGAUUCUCUGGACUGUAACUGACGCUGAGGCUCGAAAGCGUGGGGAACAAACAGGAUUAGAUACCCGCGUA